rnacentral:rRNA from 1 species
AAGACAACCAGGAUGUUGGCUCAGAAGCAGCCAUACAUUCAAAGAGUGCGUAAUAGCUCACUGGUCGAGAGGUCCUGCGCCGAAAAUGUCCGGGGCUGAAACACGACACCGAAGCUGAGGAAUGUCUGAAGACAUUGGUAGAGGAGCAUUGGAUACGCAACGAAGCAGUACCGGAAGGAGCUGUGGAGUGUAUCGAAGAGAGAAUGCCGGAAUGAGUAGCGAGAGAGAGGUGGGAAUCCUCUCGGCCGAAUAUCUAAGGUUUCCAGGGUAAAGCUGAUCUGCCCUGGGUAAGUCGGGGCCUAAGGCGAGGACGAGAGUCGUAGCCGAUGGACAACAGGUUGAGAUUCCUGUACUGCAGUAAGACAGAACUGUGGGGACACGUGUGGAGAGCAUAGGCGCGGAAUGGAAAGCCGCGUGCAAGCGAGGUAGGAGUCCUGUAGGAAAAACCGCAGGGCAAUCCGAAGGCGUGAUGCGGACCGAAAUCUAGUAGGGAAGUAUGUGAGCCAUGCGUCAAGAAAAGCCGCUAUUGUUCUUAUUGUACCCGUACCGUAAACCGACACAGGUGGAUGAGGAGAGAAUCCUAAGGCCGACGGAAGAAGCAUUGUUAAGGAACUCGGCAAAAUGACCCCGUAACUUCGGGAGAAGGGGUGCCACAGAAAUGUGGCCGCAGAGAAUAGGCUCAAGCAACUGUUUAGCAAAAACACAGGUCUAUGCAAAACCGAAAGGUGAGGUAUAUGGGCUGACGCCUGCCCGGUGCUGGAAGGUUAAGAGGAGAGGUUAGCGCAAGCGAAGCUUUGAAUUGAAGCCCCAGUAAACGGCGGCCGUAACUAUAACGGUCCUAAGGUAGCGAAAUUCCUUGUCGGGUAAGUUCCGACCCGCACGAAAGGCGUAAUGAUUUGAGCGCUGUCUCGACAAUGCAUCCGGUGAAAUUGAAGUACCAGUGAAGAUGCUGGUUACCUGCGCCAGGACGGAAAGACCCCAUGGAGCUUUACUCCAGCUUGAUACUGGGAUUCGGUAUUGCAUGUACAGGAUAGGUGGGAGGCUAUGAAUCGGUAACGCCAGUUGCCGAGGAGCCAUUGUUGGGAUACCACCCUUGCAGUACUGGGUUUCUAACCAGCAGCCGUGACCCGGCUGGGGGACAAUGUCAGGUGGGGAGUUUGACUGGGGCGGUCGCCUCCGAAAGGGUAUCGGAGGCGCUCAAAGGUUCCCUCAGAAUGGUUGGAAACCAUUCGAAGAGUGCAAAGGCAGAAGGGAGCUUGACUGCGACACCGACGGGUGGAGCAGGUACGAAAGUAGGACUUAGUGAUCCGGUGGUAUUAAGUGGGAAUGCCAUCGCUCAACGGAUAAAAGCUACCCUGGGGAUAACAGGCUUAUCACUCCCAAGAGUUCACAUCGACGGAGUGGUUUGGCACCUCGAUGUCGGCUCAUCGCAUCCUGGGGCUGUAGUAGGUCCCAAGGGUUGGGCUGUUCGCCCAUUAAAGCGGUACGCGAGCUGGGUUCA